UACGUAGGGUGCAAGCGUUAUUCGGAAUUACUGGGCGUAAAGCGUGCGCAGGCGGUUUUGUACGUCAGAUGUGAAAUCCCCGGGCUCAACCUGGGAACUGCAUUUGUGACUGCAUCGCUGGAGUGCGGCAGAGGGGGAUGGAAUUCCGCGUGUAGCAGUGAAAUGCGUAGAUAUGAGGAGGAACACCGAUGGCGAAGGCAAUCCCCUGGGCCUGCACUGACGCUCAUGCGCGAAAGCGUGGGGAGCAAACAGG
rnacentral:rRNA from 1 species